AGUGAGUCAAGGCUUCGACCAUCUAAUUGUUGUGAGUUUUAAUCCAUUGUUCUAUGUUGUAGCCCUUCUGGUUUAAUAUUUUGCACUAGUUGAUCCUUAUGGUGAGGCCAACCCAUUGGAAGGGUUGAAUUUCGCAUUCAAUUAGGCCGAAUUGAGUUGGGUUCAGGCUGGGCACCUUGGGUUAGAAUUCUGGUCGGGUCAGGUUGCGGAUUGGAUCCUUUCAAGUAUGAAUGGGCCCAGCUUGCGUUCGACCCAACUCAAUCCGCCCGAAUUGCACCCUAAUGUAGCAUCAUGCUCAUAUGAUUUAAUUAAAAAGGAAUUUUUUUCUUCAACUUCUUUAUCCAAACUGUUUCUUAUUCCAAUAUGUCAUGAACUUCUUGUAGCUUAUUUGGAUUCAUCUUUCUACAUAAUUUUAUCUACUCUGCAAUAUCUACUUCCAGAGGCUCUAUCAUGUCAGCUAUCCAUUUGUAUUUGUAAGCAAGGGACUGAAUUUUCUUAGAGAGAAGUCUUCCUUCUUAGCACAACUCUUGUAGUAUUUGCACUGGCUGGUGGUAUCCUGGCUAACAUGGACUGUUAUGAUAUAUGCAAGCUCUGCUGUGAAUCUAGGAAACUGUCAGAAACUGCCACUACUAUAUCACGAGCAUGCACCUAUACAGGAAGGAGAUCUAGUCCACACUUGGGUGGAUGGAAAAUUUAUCCUUGUUUACACCAUAUGUGAGGUAUAUGAUGAUGUGCAGAUCAUUUUUAAUAACUACGAUUGUCCAAUCACCUAAAAUCUAGUCCCAUGAUCAGUUCAUGAUUGUCCACGAUGUAAGAACGGUUUGGAUUAUCAUAUGAAUACGCUACAUGAGGAAUGUAAUGGCAUUAUAUAUUCAUGUGAUUCUUGAUCCAUGGAAGGUGCUAAGUGUUGGAAACUUGCCUGAAGUGUAGCUUCUAUCUGCUAUUCUAUGGGUGGUUUUGUUGCCAGAGCUGCAGUUGUCCACCCACAUUUAAGGAAGUCAGCAGUUGAGACUGUUCUCACUCUUUCAAGUUGACACCAUGUUACCUCCUAUGGCAUUGUGGUCGUCUUUGGGUCAUUUCUUUUCACAAGUCAAUAGAGAAUGGGAAAAGGGUUAUGAGGUCCAGAGAACUCAGAGAGGCAAGGUGUCAGAUCCUACACUCUCUAUUUUUGUUGUCAUCUCCGUUUCUGUUGGUAUCUGUGA